rnacentral:rRNA from 1 species
AGCGAACGCUGGCGGCAGGCCUAACACAUGCAAGUCGAACGAACCUUUCGGGGUUAGUGGCGGACGGGUGAGUAACACGUGGGAACGUGCCUUUAGGUUCGGAAUAACUCAGGGAAACUUGUGCUAAUACCGAAUGUGCCCUUCGGGGGAAAGAUUUAUCGCCUUUAGAGCGACCCGCGUCUGAUUAGCUAGUUGGUUGAGGUAAUGGCUCACCAAGGCGACGAUCAGUAGCUGGUCUGAGAGGAUGAUCAGCCACAUUGGGACUGAGACACGGCCCAAACUCCUACGGGAGGCAGCAGUGGGGAAUCUUGCGCAAUGGGCGAAAGCCUGACGCAGCCAUGCCGCGUGAAUGAUGAAGGUCUUAGGAUUGUAAAAUUCUUUCACCGGGGACGAUAAUGACGGUACCCGGAGAAGAAGCCCCGGCUAACUUCGU